rnacentral:lncRNA from 1 species
GGACGAGUAGGGUCUGGGGUUGGGGGUGGGAGCGUUACCUGCGUGGAGCGGGUCUGUGGGCCCUUGUGGUGGGGCUGGGAGGGAGGAGGGCGUGGGAGAAGAGGAAGGCACUUUCCCCAGGGGCAAAGCUUGCGACCUGGCACUGAAGGCAGAGAUCUCCACACCUCUUUGCCGUGCAUUCCCACGAAGCGAUCGUCCUUCCUGUGCUCCAAAUUUCCCUCUUCCUGGGGAACCCCUGAAGAAAAGUACUACAGGGACGGAAGCAGAAACGUCUGCAAAUCUGAUUGCACGGAAGUCUUUUGUGACUGGGAGAACAGGACUUUGGAACCAGUUGGUUUAAAAUACAAUCCUGCAUUCAUUGCUGUCUAGAAAAUGUCUUACGGAUCCAUUGAUGGGAGUGGAUUUGGAAGCAGGAACCCAUUUGGAGGCCCUUCGAGACAAGGCUAUCAACCUCUCG